UUCCGGUUGAUCCCUGCCCGAAAGUACUGCAGAGCUAGGAAGUGGGAGAGGUAGACGGUACUCGGUAGGAAGGGGUAAAAUCCUUUGAUCUAUUGAUGACCACCUGUGGCGAAGGCGGUCUACCAGAACACGUUCGACGGUGAGGGAUGAAAGCUGGGGGAGCAAACCGGAUUAGAUACCCGGGUAGUCCCAGCUGUAAACGAUGCAGACUCGGUGAUGCGCUGGCUUGUGGCCAGUGCAGUGCCGCAGGGAAGCCGUUAAGUUUGCCGCCUGGGAAGUACGUACGCAAGUAUGAAACUUAAAGGAAUUGGCGGGGGAGCACCACAAGGGGUGAAGCCUGCGGUUCAAUUGGAGUCAACGCCAGAAAUCUUACCCGGAGAGACAGCAGAAUGAAGGUCAAGCUGAAGACUUUACCAGACAAGCUGAGAGGUGGUGCAUGGCCGCCGCCAGCUCGUGCCGUGAGAUGUCCUGUUAAGUCAGGUAACGAGCGAGAUCCCUGCCUCUAGUUGCCACCAUUACUCUCAGGAGUAGUGGGGCGGAUUAGCGGGACCGCCACAGUUAAUGUGGAGGAAGGAAGGGGCCACGACAGGUCAGUAUGCCCCGAAACUCUGGGGCCACACGCGGGCUGCAAUGGUAGUGACAAUGAGUUCCGAAACCGAAAGGUGGAGGUAAUCUUCAAACGCUACCACAGUUAUGAUUGAGGGCUGCAACUCGCCCUCAUGAAUAUGGAAUCCCUAGUAACUGCGUGUCAUUAUCGCGCGGUGAAUACGUCCCUGCUCCUUGCACACACCGCCCGUCGUUUCAUUGAAGUUUGCUUUUAGCGAGGUGAUGUCUCAUUGGCGUUAUCGAACUUGAGGUAAGCAACAAGGGAAAAGUCGUAACAAGGUAUCC
rnacentral:rRNA from 1 species